rfam:Salmo salar isolate Sally breed double haploid chromosome ssa11, whole genome shotgun sequence.
UGGCUCAGUUGGUAGAGCAUGGCGCUUGCAACGUCAGGAUUGUGGGUUUGAUUCCCAU